GGAUGCUAUCAUACUAGCACUAAUGCACCAGAUCCCAUCAGAACUCCGCAGUUAAGCGUGCUUGAAAAAGAGUUGUACUAGUAUGGGUGACCUCCCGGAAAGUCCUCGUGUUGCAUCCC
rnacentral:rRNA from 1 species